GACGAACGCUGGCGGCGUGCUUAACACAUGCAAGUCGAACGGUGAACUCGAGAGCUUGCUCUUGAGGGAUCAGUGGCGAACGGGUGAGUAACACGUGAGUAACCUGCCCCAGACUCUGGAAUAACACCUGGAAACAGGUGCUAAUACCGGAUACGACACGAACAGGCAUCUGUAUCGUGUGGAAAGAUUUAUCGGUCUGGGAUGGACUCGCGGCCUAUCAGCUUGUUGGUGAGGUAAUGGCUCACCAAGGCGACGACGGGUAGCCGGCCUGAGAGGGCGACCGGCCACACUGGGACUGAGACACGGCCCAG
rnacentral:rRNA from 1 species